AAUGAACGCUGGCGGCGCGCCUAAUACAUGCAAGUCGAGCGAGAAGACGUAGCAAUACGUUUGUAAAGCGGCGAACGGGUGAGGAAUACAUGGGUAACCUACCCUCGAGUGGGGAAUAACUAGCCGAAAGGUUAGCUAAUACCGCGUACGCUUCUUGGACUUCGGUUCAGGGAGGAAAGCGAUGCCGAGGGUAUCGCGCUCUUGGAUGGGCUCAUGUCCUAUCAGCUUGUCGGNGAGGUAACGGCUCACCAGGGCUUCGACGGGUAGCUGGUCUGAGAGGACGAUCAGCCACACUGGCACUGCGACACGGGCCAGACUCCUACGGGAGGCAGCAGUAAGGAAUAUUGCGCAAUGGGCGAAAGCCUGACGCAGCGACGCCGCGUGGGGGA
rnacentral:rRNA from 1 species